rnacentral:rRNA from 1 species
CAGCAGCCACGGUAAUACGGAGGGGGCUAGCGUUGUUCGGAAUUACUGGGCGUAAAGCGCACGUAGGCGGCUUGGUAAGUUAGAGGUGAAAGCCCGGAGCUCAACUCCGGAAUUGCCUUUAAGACUGCCGAGCUAGCAGGUGAGAGAGGUAAGUGGAAUUCCGAGUGUAGAGGUGAAAUUCGUAGAUAUUCGGAAGAACACCAGUGGCGAAGGCGGCUUACUGGCUCAUACUGGACGCUGAGGUGCGAAAGCGUGGGGAGCAAACAGGAUUAGAUACCCCCGUAGUCCCUGUCUCUUAUAA